AGCCAUUAGACGAUAUUUAUGGUUAAACCUGCCCAAUGUUAGGAAUAAUCAAUGGCCGCGGUACCCUGACCGUGCUAAGGUAGCGUAAUCAGUUGGCUUUUAAAUGGAGUCAGGAAUGAAUGGGAAAACCGGGUUUAGCUGUCUCCAAACUAUUUUUUUGAAUUUACUGUUUAAGUGAAAAAGCUUAACAUUAAUAAAGGGACGAGAAGACCCUUAGAAUUUUUUUUAAAAUGAAUGUUUUUCAUAAUAAUUUUGUUGGGGCGACAGAGAAAUAUUUAAAACUUUCUUUAAAUUUACAAGCCGAUAUUGUUAAGUAAGAAUAAAUUACCUAAGGGAUAACAGCAUAAUUCUACAAUUGAGUUUGUGACCUCGAUGUUGGACUAGGAAACUAACAGGCUAGCCGUUUGUUGUGUGGGUUCUGUUCGAACUUUAAUUCCU
rnacentral:rRNA from 1 species